rnacentral:pre_miRNA from 1 species
GAGACACUCCAUGGAGCAGGACUUGCUUCAGUGGGGCUUUGGUGCUCACUGAGUCUGCUCCUUGAAUGUAUCACU